AUUGAACGCUGGCGGCAGGCCUAACACAUGCAAGUCGAACGAGUGGCGGACGGGUGAGUAAUGUCUGUGAAACUGCCCGAUGGAGGGGGAGAACAACUGGGAACGGUAUCUAAUACAGCAUACGAUCUCAUGUGCCCCGAUGGGAUUAGCUAGUAGGUGGGGUAACGGCUCACCUAGGCGACGAUCCCUCGCUGGGCUGAGAGGGUGACCAGCCACACUGGAACUGAGACACGGUCCAGACUCCGACGGGAGGCAGCAGUGGGGAAUAUUGCACAAUGGGCGCAAGCCUGAUGCAGCCAUGCCGCGUGUAUGAAGAAGGCCUGCGGGUUGUAAAGUACUUUCAGCGAGGAGGCGUUACUCGCAGAAGAAGCACCGGCUAACUCCGUGCCAGCAGCCGCGGUAAUAC
rnacentral:rRNA from 1 species